GUGAGCGUUCCGGCAGCGAAGUUCGAACGUGGACUGCUGCGCUGGGUCGCGCUCUGUGGAGCUGGUGGGUGCUCCGCUCGCUUUUGGCCCGGCCUGGUGCUGCAGUCCCGGGAGCCGUCGGAGCGCAGUUUCGGUGUGCGGCGGAGGCCGGGUAGCCCUGGAAAGGGGGCUUGGGGGGCUCGGAGUAGCGCUCCGUGUGUCUGCACUGUGGCAGCGGGACUCACCCGGGCGGGAGCGGCCCUUCCUCGGGCGCCGGGCGGCCUGCAGAGGGGUCGGGCUGCGCUCCGUGCCAGAGCGGCACGCGGCGUGGGCUCUGCUGAGCUGCGGCAGAGACAAAGCCCUCCUAACAGACAGAGCACUGCUGGGACGCUGUAGCCCUACAGGGAAAGGCUUUCGCUGCCCCCUAAAGCUGUAGUCCAACCCUGCCGCUGCUCUGCGGGAUGAAGCCCUGAAGGGUGUCCUAUACUGUUAAUGUAAGGGAAGUCGGCGUCAUGCAGUGCGUUUUAUUAUUGCUAGGUGAGGGGGGAUGCACCUUGGUGAGGAGAUGUGCAGUGCUGGAGCUGCCACAAGUGUCCCUUCUGCCUCUAAGAAUGUGUCCUAAGCAGGAUGUGAACCUGCUGGCACUUCUUCACUGCAGGUGCUCGUAGGAUCUCCAGUUCUUGCAGAUUUCAGGAUGACAGCGACUAUGAGGAAGUUCUCGUAUACUAUGAAUUACAUGAAACAAUUGGGACGGGUAAGCAUAAUCCUUGCACAAAAACAGCACGCCUCCCAGUCUGACUCACCACUCUAGAAUUUAUCUGAGAAUAGAUUAACUGCUCUUAUGGGAUCACAGGUUUCACGUGUAUAAACUUGAAACUGAUUUUUGAGACUGGUUGGAAGUUGAUUAUGCUGACCACCUCUUCCUCUAAUUAAAACAUUACACACAAUGUAUGCUAGGUACUCUGCUUUACCUGUAAUAUUAUAUUAGAGAAGAAUUCACACUCAACUUUAAGCAUCUGUAUUUUGAAUUUUAGGUGGUUUUGCAAAGGUAAAACUUGGAUAGCAUCUUCUUACUGGUGAAAAAGUUGCAAUAAAAAUCAUGGACAAAGUUGCUUUAGGGGUAAGCCAAAAGAUAUUUAAAUAUGACAACAUCUUCUGUUGGAGUUGUGGAAUUCUCAAGAACACAGGGAGGUGGUAUAUAGAAAUGCAGCUGACUAGUCUCAUUGCCUUUUGAAGGCUGCUGUAGGAUUGGGAAAUGUUUAACAGAACCACAAACCUUGUUCCUUGUUGUUCAGAGGGCAAUACUCUCUGGCUGCAAGAUGGAGAAAGUUCAACAUUAUUACAUCAACCUUAACCAAAAGCUAAUGGAAAUACUAGAUAGUUUACAUUUCAGCUUUCGCUGAUCUGUGUUCCAGAACUUCUAUGGGAGUAAUGUCAGCCAUUGCUGAGUUGAUGUUGAAUUGUGCACUGUCCCAUACAUGCUUUGACAUUUAAUGUUCCACAAUAGUCAGAUGUGGUACCUGGUAUGUCACGUUAGUUAGCAAUUUCGUAGCUUGCUUUUAUGGUCUCUUAAGGAUGACUUGCCUCAUGUUAAAUCAGAAAUUGAUGCCAUGAAGAACUUAAGUCAUCAACAUGUUUGCUGACUGUAUCAUGUAAUAGAGACAUCAAAGAAAAUAUUCAUGAUCUUAGAGGUAAGAAAUAGUGUUUCUGCCACGCUUAAGGUUACUGUUUUUAUCUUUAGCAGUAGACAAUAAUAUAAAAAUAAAGCUGAAAUGAACUGAUUCUUAAAUAUCUCAGUGGUGAAUGGGAGUUCGAGAUUCAUUGGUUUGAAAAUUAAGUAGAAAAUGUUAUAUAUUCUGUCUUCUUGUAAAAGCCACUCAUCAGCAUUCCCAGUAACUGAACUGGUUUUAAUUCCUAACUUCCAUUUCAGUUUUUAAAAGUAGCAUCUGCAAGGCCUGCAGGACACCAGAGCACCCCACGUUGCUGUCACCUCUUGAGUGAUUUGUGCCACCCAUGACAUGAGUGCUGUGCUUCAGUUACAAAACUGGUCAGAUUUCUUAGCUUGUUUGGUCUGCUACAGUGAUGGCCCAUGGCAGAACUGGAACACUCAUGUACUGCUCUGAUGGAGCACCGGGAUGGAAGACUGUCCUGCAGUGCUGUGCAGUGCUUUCCCUGCUCUUGUUACUUAUCUUUCUCUGAUACAUUCUAAAUACAUUUUCAGACAACUUUACCUUUCUCAUUGCAGUAUUGUCCUGGAGGGGAGCUGUUUGAUUACAUUGGUAAUCAACCAAUUGAGGGUUGGUGAGGGGUCUGGAGCACAGGCCUUAGGAGGAGUGGCUGAAGAAGCUGGGAUUGUUGAGUCUGGAGAAGAGGAGGCUCAGGGGAGACCUCAUUGCUCUCUAUAACUACCUGAAGGGAGGUUGUAGUGAGCUGGGAGUCAGCCUCUUCUCUCGUGUGACUAGUGAUAGGACUAGAGGGAAUGGCUUCAAGCUGCGCCAGGGAAAAUUCAGGCUGGACGUUAGGUAAUACUACUUGUCUGAAAGGGUGGUGCGGCGCUGGAAUGGGCUGCCCAGAGAGGUGGUGGAGUCACCGAGCCUGGUGGUGUUCAAAGAGUGUUUGGAUGCUGUGUUGAGGGACAUGGCUGAGCGGGAACCAUUGGUGAAGGGCGAACGGUUGGACUGGAUGAUCCUGUGGGUCUUUUCCAACCUUAGCGAUUCUAUGAUUCUAUUGUUUCUAAGGAUCACCUUUUGGAGGAGGAAGCUUUUUCUCCACAGAUUUUUCAGCAAUUGCUUUUGUUCACAGUCAGGGUUACGCCCACAGAAACCUCAAACCAGUAUGCCUGAACUGUAGUCAGUCUUUCAUAAAUAAUAAUGAAUGUGUUUUUAUUUUUCCAUUGGGAGACAGUAAGUUAUCCCUUUAUUGUGGUUUAACCUGGCAGGUGGCUAAGCAUCACACAGUACUCCACUCACUCCACUCCUUUCCAGUGGGAUGCAGGAGAGAACUGAAGGGGAAAAAACCAACACAAAGUAGAACUUGUGGGUUGAGAUAAAAUUAUUUACUGAGAUAAGGAAGAGGAAAAUGAUAACAGUUAUGAGGAAUGCAAAAGCAAUUGCCCACCACCUACUAAUCAGUGUCCAGUUAGCCUCCUAGCAGUGGAAGAGAUCCAGAUGAACUCCCACCCCCUUUAAAACUCCUUACACAAUAUGUCAUAUGGUAUGGAAUAUCUCUUCGGCCAGUUUAAGUCAGCUAUCCUAAUUCUGUUCCCUCUCACUUCCUUGGACUCUCAGCUGAGAAUGGCUUUGGCUCUGUACAACACAGCCUAGCAGCAACUAAAAGCAUCAGUGUGCUAUCCACGUUUUUUUUCUAGAACGAAAUCAUGGUAUCAUAGACACUGAAGAAAACAAUUCCACCCCAGCUGAAACUCAGACACCCUUCAUUAUCUUGUGCUUAGAAUUCUUUCACUACAGAAAAUGUUAAUUACUUCUAUUCGAUACUGCAUUCUGCAGCUGAGCUGGAUUUUGUUAUCCUUGAAGAAGUAUAUUCUUCUGAAAGGGGAGUAAAACAUCAUGCUCCCAAUGGGAGUGGAGCAGAGACACAGAUCUGAUAUGAGUGUUGGUUUCACAUUUUCCUUAUGCUCUUUGUUGCAGUUUGUAUCUAGAGAGAACCCCUUGUGGUGUCACUCUGUUGUGUAAACUGCUCUAUUUUUGUGCCUCAAGGAAGAGUGAUCCCUUAAAGAAAUGGUGGUACACAGCAGGUGUGGGGUGAGAUGCAUGCCUCUGGCCUCAUCCUAUACAUUUUCUGCCACUGAAAACUUUAAGCACAGGUUAGGUACUGGAAGGUCUGAGUAUUUCUCCACAAAUGGGUUAGAACUUUGCAUUUUUUAAGUUGCUGAUAUCAUGAGUAAAACAAAUCAUUACAUCACAAGCAUUUUCCUAGGCAUCUUAUGAAAUCCCUAAAAACCUAAAGAACCUUUCCCCUCUGAAAAAUAAAGCAUUGUCUAUACCUUUUGGAAGGAACUGGCUUUCAGCAGAAAAGCUGAUGGAUUCAUAGGUUCAGACUGUAACUUGGUAUGGAGGUGACUUCUAGAGAUUUGUGCCCGAACCUGCUGCUCCAAGCAGUGUGAAAUCAAGUUUCUCAGAGCUUUUUCCACUCUUAACCUCUCCCAGGGAUGAGGCUGCAUGCUCUCUCUGGGCAAUCUGUUCAGUGCUUGAGAAUUUUUUUCCUUAUAUCCAGUCAGCUGAUUCAGUGUAUGACUGUUUUCUGUCACUACCCCAGUGAUUCAAAGAGAAUUACUUGUCCUCAAAUUAUUUUUCCUGGCCAAAGGUAGAGCCUCUUUCAGGUAAUCAGGACCAACUGCUUGUCAUCUCAAUGGUAUAAAGUAAUCUUGCUCUGACCUGUUCAGAACAAAACCAAAGUGAAGUAAUAGGAUACACUGAAUAAGGAAGUAUUAUAUCAGUGUUUCUUCAUAAAGUUUGUAAAGUUAUUGCAUUAAAUAUUGUUCUAAAUGACCAAUGAGCCUCAAACCCAAUAGCUCUUGCAUCACUUCUUACCAAGUUUUGUGUUUGCACAGACAGUUCAUCUUAUAAGAUGACCAGCUGAGGAAAAUAAUGCAUCAUGCCAAGGAUACUGCAUAAGUGAGCAGCUUGGGAUCUGUACAUUUAUACAGUAGUCAUGGUCUUAGUGAGGUCACCUACCGAAUGAAAGCAAAAUAUACAAUGAAGGAAAAUAUACACAGCAGAAGAAGCCUCUGAAGUGUCAUUAUCAGAAGACAUAAACUGUUAAAGCAGAUUAUUCUCUCUAUUUUCUGUGUUAUUCCAGGGAGGCUUUGAUUACCACCUAAUACAUGCUGUGCAAGCCCAGCUUAUGCAGCACCAGAGCUAAUCCAGGGCAAAGUGUACAUUGGCUCAGGGGUGUGUACACCGGUUUUGGUUUUUUGGCUUUGUUUUUUUCCUCUCCUCUCCCCACAGAGCAUUUAAAGGCAGUGGAUACACUCACUUGGUUUCCCUCCCAAAUUCUGAUGGCUUGCAUUGCUCAGCAGUUCUCAGCAGCUGUCAAUGGCCGCAGUUCACACAGCUGGCUGGUUUGUCUCUGGCCCGUCCUGAACUGUCUCCACCAGUUGUUCCCUGCUUUAGGGCUCUACAAAACAGCAACUUCAAAGAUCUCUUUCUACUACAAAGUCCUUAAAAGAGCAAUUUGCUCUGUUAAUUAUCCAUUAUUUGUCAAAUUUUUGUGCAGUCUCAGGAUCUUACAUGUUCUGUCAGACUUGUCUUUAGCUUACAAGCUGUUUAUGAAGACUAGCUUCCACUGUAAUGCACAAUGUACUACAAAUUGAGAGAUGAACAUGUGAAGAGUUUUUCCAGCUUUGAUUUCAUGUCUAGAACUUUGGAACCCACUACUUGCAGUUGUUAAUCUGUCCAAAUUGUUCUAGUUUGGAACACCCUUCUUGAAUUGCUUUGCUGUUGAAGAUGGUGAUUCUUUCAGGUGCCACUGCACCACUGCUGUUGGACUCUAAUUCUUGCUUUGUUUGUUUGUUUUCCACAGACUGCUUUUCAAGCCUCCUUUUUCUUUACAGGCAAAGUGAGAAUUGCAUUGUGAGGUGUAUGAACCUUGUUGUGCCUAUACAUAAACAGAACAGCAGCAGAGCCUCACAGGUGCUGACAUCUCUCAUUGUAGCCAUUAACACAUAACUGUGCCAAAUCCCUUGUGAUGGGUUUGAUUUCAUUUUUGCCAGUGAAAUCCUUGUAGAUAAAAGGUACUGCAGCAGUGUGAUGAGCUAAGAUAAGGAUACUGGUUUUAGUAGUGCUCUAAGUUGAGUGGAAGAACAAUUGAAUUAGGGUUAUAUGCUUUCUCUGGGACUGUAAGGUUUUUUUCCUGAGGGAAAGAGCCAGCUUUUCAUGGGGUACAUGUGGGCUUUGGCAAGGGCAGACAAUACAAUCUGUCAGUAAGCCAUCUUAGGUGCUUCAGGUUUGUAAACUUGUCCUUUUAUUUUUUAGGCAGAUAUUCGGAGCGUGGGUGUACUGCUGUAUGCUCUGUUGUGUGGUUUUCUUCCUUUUGAUGAUGACAAUGUGAUGGACUCUACAGGAGGAUAACAGGUGCCUAACAACCUGAGCUCUCUACAGUGUGGGAUUUGUUAAUCAAAUGACAUGGCACCUCUCCUAUGAAGAAAGACUGAGGGAACUGGGCUCUCACACAGCCCUGCUGAUUGGUGGGUCUGACCAGGACUGGUUCCCAUCACUUACUAACGUAUUGCCCCUAAUGGCCAGGUACACUUAGAGAGGACUCUCCCACAGACUCUUCAGAUGCUAUUAGCUUUGUUGAAUGCAAAAGGCAAGCACUGAUCAUUAAUACAAAUAACAUCUGAGAUCUGCAGAACUAGGAAGGAAACAUAGGAGUUGACAGAGGUGUUAGGACAUCCCUCAUAAAACAGUAUGUCUCCAAAGCUUGAUUUUUUCUGUUAAGCAGUUAUACCUUUAGUCUGCAUCAGGAAUGUAUGAGAACGUGAGCACCAACCACAAUGACAUACAACUAAGCAGCAGUAUCAGAGGAUAGUUCUGUUUGAGCUUUUCUGCACACAAAUGCCCACUAACACCUAGAAAGGGGCUGUGGCUCACGGCAUUGUGCUGCAGGUCUUCCUUCACGAAAGGAACUGUGGUCUGUGCUGUAUAUAAGCCACAUUAUUGGCUUUUUCCUGGAUGAGACUUUCUCAUCCAGAAGCUACAUACAGGGGCUACAACGACCCACAGCCCUUAAUGCAUGAACCAGAAGGAUACAUUCAUCAGAACACUGACUGACCAAGGCAGAAGUCUCCAUCACUUAUUUCUAACUUUAAGUUAUCACUUUGUUGCUCUUCAGGUAGGUAAAGAACUGGAAAUGUUUUCAGUGAAUUUCAAGGGAAGGGUAGAAAUGUUAGUAAACGUUAAUUGUUUCAGAUGCAAAAUGUCAUAAAAGGAGAAACGCCAUUCACAGGAACAUCAAUGACACAGAUCUGACCAACAAAUGCGAGGAAAGGCUGUAAUGCGAGGCAGCCUGGUCAGUCGCAUUAACUGAGAGAUGUGUGCAGAAUGUGUGUCAGUGGUUCAGCCUGGUUCUGUGACUAAUGGGGUGGGGGGACCCACGGGCCUAUGCCUUGAGAUGAGCCUAAGAACAACACAGCGGCAGUGAGGUAAGGGGAAGGUCAUUAUCUUAACAUCCCUUACACUUUAAUGUAAACAGUGAAUACCUUAAAGUGAGGUUUUGCAGGUGCUAUAUGACCAGCACAGCAGUUGAGCUUGAUACUAAUUGAUUAAAUUUAAAAAAAAGGAUAAUAAAUUGAGUUUGAUAAUAGUUAACAGAAGUAUACAUAACAUACAGUUCCAACAAAUUACAGUUUCCUAUCAGAGCUUAAAUAACUUCUGUGUAUGACCCUUCCAGCUGCAAUACUAGGCCUCUGUUUGGUUUCAGCUGUUGAAAUUUCAGCCUGCUAGAUAUCAGAAAUCAGCUAAAGAUGCCAGCACUGCAGCUGAGGGCAGUAACUGGCCCAUACUGGGGCUGCUGGAGUAUCGUGCAAGCUCUGAUUUCUGCUUGCUCGCUCUGCUUUCUUGCAUGAAUUCAAACCUCUCCCAAGAGUUCAGCUUCUCCCUGAGACUUGAUCUGAGUUGCUGUAAGCCUAGAAAAUGGCAGAGCUGGUUGAAUGUGGCAGACUGCUAACAGUCUCAUUAACGUCUAGCAGAGCAGUGUAACGAUCACUCAUCCCAAGUGGCUGAAUAAUUGAAGUUUCUGCUUGUUUUUACAUGCCUUGAGUUUUAACUUAGGAAUUGAACACAAAAGUAACCUCACGUUUUCAUUGUAUUUUAUUUUUUGGCUAAUAUUGCUUGCUGUGAAUGAAUGACAGCUGGUGGUACGACCCAGCAGAACAGGGAAGAAGCAAGAUUCACUAGUGGGAUUUUUGAAACUGAACUAAUCUAUACUAUUAUUAUUCUGUUGUUAUUGUUGCUUUUAUACUGAGAAUUCUGGAAUUCUAUUCCAGCUCAGCACAGAUGGAACUGAGAGGGAGACAGAAAGAAGGCUUAACAAACAGAUAAGCUGUGGGGACAAAGAGGUACAUGGACUGUGUGCCAAGCUUAUGGAUGUACCCACACACAGGGCCAGAAGGUGCGUUUUGCGUCUCUGAGUUCCAACUCAUCAUUUUGCAGGCAGGCAGGUUGCACACAGUCACACAUGAGUCAGAUCUGACAUCGGUUGGUGUGCUAUGCCUGGGAGGCUGUUCUUACUGCUUUCUCUUUGCUAGGAUCCUCUUUUACGCUCCAAAUUUAACUUAUGGUCACUGUAGAUCAAUGUGUUCUUGGCGCUACUGUUAGGUUUAAAUCUUAGCUCUUCCACAUUGCCAUUGCUCUGAGCCCAUAACUAAACUGGGCUUAUAUUUUUUCUAUUCAAAGCUUGAUGUAAACACAAUUCUUCAACUCACUGCUUAAAAAUUCUAACGUAUGAAAUAUUAUUUCUCAUAGAGAAUGCCAUUCUAUUUUUUUCCUCCCUACCUCUUUCUUCGUAACUUGUUCUGUUAGAUGAUUCUGCAGAACAGGCAGGAGAAUAGUAAGGAAUCCUAAAUGCAACAGAAAACUGACAGAGAAACAGUGGCCAGCCUCUGUUAGGACUGGGGCAGAUAUAUGUAAUGGGAGCUGACAGAAAGAUAACUAAAUUUUGAGGAGAAAGGAAAAUUAAAAGGUGUUGACACAUUGAAACUAAACUAGUGCUCGAGUCCACACAGUGAGAGCUGGUAAAAGCACAACUCAAGGACAAGCAGCACAGACCUGUUCUUCAUACUUGUUUAGGGUUGAGGCCAUUAAGUCUACUUGCUUGCUCUUUGCUUUACAUAAAUAAAGUAUUAACUAAGGAAAUUACUAUUCUGACAUGUAUGAUUUAUGAAAAUACUGAAGAGUUGGAAAUACAAGUAGGAAUGCUAUAUGGAAAGCUUCUCAAACAUCUAAAUGCCACUGAGUUUUGUUGAGAGGGACCAAUAAAGUUUAAGCUGCACCAUUAGAACUUAUUUGCCAGUAACAACCAGAUCCUAACAAUAUAGCCUCUGGGUACUUGUGAACGUUAGUAAUACGCUGACUUUAAAGAAGCUUUGCUUGCCACUUCCUUGUCCCCAAAGCCUGAUUAAUACUUGGGAAAUAUUUUCUGUUACCUCAGAACACCUUGCAUACCUUCAUAGAUUCAUUUUGUCAGCAGUACUACUACACGCUGUGUUACACCUUUGUCUGGUUGUGAUUAUGUGAGACCUUACAGUGCUCACUCACAGCCUACACUGAGCUGUUGAAACUUACUCUUGGUAUUUCAAGAAAAGGUACCUCACUGAUCAGUCUCCUACAUAUUUCAUAACUUCAUGGAUUCUCCAAGUUCUGAGCACAGAAUCAGAAUCAGGAUGAAGAUCCUUCUCUUUUGGAACUCUUUUGCCCUGUGUUCUUCAGGUAUCUCAUUCAACUUCUUAUGGGUUUUCCCACUAUCUGCAGUGUUGGUGCCAGGUCAUGCCUCUGCAGCAU
rnacentral:lncRNA from 1 species